rnacentral:rRNA from 1 species
CCAAUAGCGUAUAUUAAAGUUGUUGCAGUUAAAAAGCUCGUAGUUGAACCUUAGGCCCGUGCGGGCGGUCCGUCCUCUGGGCGAGCACUGCCUCGUCGCGGGUCUCACCUUCUGGCGAGCGUGGAUGCCAUUCACUUGGUGUCUGCGGGAACCAGGACCUUUACCUUGAAAAAAUUAGAGUGCUCAAAGCGGGCUCUUACGCUUGAAUACAUUAGCAUGGAAUAAUGAAAUAGGACGACUGUUCUAUUUUGUUGGUUUCCGGGACGGUCGUAAUGAUUAAUAGGGAUAGUUGGGGGCAUUCGUAUUCAAUUGUCAGAGGUGAAAUUCUUGGAUUUAUUGAAGACGGACUACUGCGAAAGCAUUUGCCAAGGAUGUUUUCAUUAAUCAAGAACGAAAGUUGGGGGAUCGAAGACGAUCAGAUACCGUCGUAGUCUCAACCAUAAACUAUGCCGACUGGGAAUCGGGCGAUGUUAUUUUUCGUGACUCGCUCGGCGCCCCGAG